rnacentral:rRNA from 1 species
UUAAAGCUCCCUUCGGGGAGUGCAUAGAGUGGCGCACGGGUGAGUAACACGUAAGUAAUCUACCUUUGAGUGGGGAAUAACCCGGGGAAACCCGAGCUAAUACCGCAUAAUGCAGCGGCACCGCAAGGUGACAGUUGUUAAAGGAGCAAUCCGCUUAAAGAGGAGCUUGCGGCAGAUUAGCUAGUUGGUAAGGUAACGGCUUACCAAGGCUACGAUCUGUAUCCGGUCUAAGAGGACGGUCGGACACACUGACACUGAAUAACGGGUCAGACUCCUACGGGAGGCAGCAGUCGGGAAUUUUGGGCAAUGGGGGAAACCCUGACCCAGCAACGCCGCGUGAAGGAUGAAGUAUUUCGGUAUGUAAACUUCGAAAGAAUAGGAAGAAUUAAUGACGGUACUAUUUAUAAGGUCCGGCUAACUACGUGCCAGCAGCCGCGGUAAUACGUAGGGACCAAGCGUUGUUCGGAUUUACUGGGCGUAAAGGGCGCGUAGGCGGCGUGGUAAGUCACUUGUGAAAUCUCUGAGCUUAACUCAGAACGGCCAAGUGAUACUGCUGUGCUAGAGUGCAGAAGGGGCAAUCGGAAUUCUUGGUGUAGCGGUGAAAUGCGUAGAUAUCAAGAGGAACACCUGAGGUGAAGACGGGUUGCUGGGCUGACACUGACGCUGAGGCGCGAAAGCCAGGGGAGCAAACGGGAUUAGAUACCCCGGUAGUCCUGGCCCUAAACGAUGAAUACUUGGUGUCUGGAGUUUUAAUGCUCCGGGUGCCGUCGCUAACGUUUUUAGUAUUCCGCCUGGGGAGUACGCUC